CAUCAUUUUUUUCCCACCGAUUUUCAGUCUCCGUCAUCCCUCAUUCCCUCCUAUCAUUUUAUGCCCCCCCAAAACAAAACAAAUUUAUUUCAUUAAUUAAAUUUGUGGCUCUACGGCUCACAGAGCUCACGGACUGGACUAGGCUUAGCCCUACUGUUUCUGGCCAUGGCUUGCGCCGCUUGGCUCCACUCAUUCCCUUUACCUCACGCUCUUGCCCCCGUUCUUCGGCGCCGGUCCUCUCUUGCCGCCACCUUUCUCCGGGUCACCCGGCCCUCCCCGACCGGUCGGUUCUUCUCCUUCGUGAGCGAGCCCUCCUCACCUACACUCACUCCGGUCCGCGCGCAAGCCAAGCGAGGCUUCUCAUUCAAAGACGACGAAGUGGCUUCUCCUGAUGAUCUUCGCUUUGAAGCGCCGCUCAGAAUAGUGGAAUAUCCAGACCCUAUACUGAGAGCCAAGAACAAGCGGAUCGACUCCUUCGACGAUAAUUUGAAGAAGCUCGUCGACGAAAUGUUCGACGUAAUGUACAAAACUGAUGGUAUUGGGCUCUCCGCACCCCAAGUAGGAAUUAAUGUUCAACUCAUGGUGUUUAAUCCUGUUGGCGAACGUGGUGAAGGAGAGGAAAUUGUUCUUGUAAAUCCAAGAGUAAACAGAUAUUCAAAGAAAAUGGUGCUUUUUAAUGAAGGUUGCCUAUCCUUCCCACAGAUUUAUGCUGAUGUCGAGAGACCAGAAUCUGUGAAGAUUGAUGCAAGGGACAUUAAAGGUGCAAGGUUUACUAUCAACCUGUCUGGUCUUCCUGCACGGAUUUUCCAGCAUGAAUUUGACCAUUUGCAGGGUACUCUGUUCUUUGAUAGAAUGACUGAUGAAGUUCUUGACAGUAUUCGCAUGCAGCUACAGGCCUUAGAAAAGAAGUAUGAGGAUAAGACCGGUUUGGCAAGCCCUGAAAGAGUAGAAACCCGCAAAAGGAAGACUGUUGCGGCUGGUUUUGGAAAAUCAUGAACAUACUAGCUUCCAUAGACACAUCAGCGCAAUGUCUCGGACGGUGAUGUUUGAAACACAAGCUUUGGUGUUAUCCAUUCCUAGGGCUCCGAUGCUGAUUCCAUGUCCAGGGCCGGAGAAGGAGAUUGGUUUGACGAGGAACACAAACCCAGAUGGAACAAACAAUGUUGAUCCCUCCACAUUGCAAGCUGCUGCCCACGCUGCUUCGAACGCCUGACUUGUAACAAGUUAGUUUCAGAUUCCACAAGUGCAGAAGUAAAUAUUCUAGCGGUAAAACAAAACAAAAAUAAAAUAAAAGAAAAGAAAAUGAGCGUGCACAUUAAUAUUACUAAAAUUAAAAUAAUUAUAAUGUCUAUUCAUCAAAAGUUGUGAUGAAAGUGAUGGCAUCUACAGCUAGAAAUUGGUCUUAAUUUGCCCUUAUAUUUUUGUAUGCUGUUUUUCCCUGUUGACUGUGUGUUCCUUUCUUGCUCAUGUCGCCAUUUUUCUAUUUGCCGGCAAAUAUUGUGAUGUCACCUUAUUGGGGUUCACGUUGGCGGCAGGUGCCACGGCACUUCGUGGGUAGCCAUGAUAUCAAAAAAAUUUGCAUUUGGCCAAUGACGCAGUUGUAGCAACUUUUGUUGUUGGAGUCAUCUCUCUGAAUAAUAUAACUCAUCUUAAGAUAUGGAUAAAUAGAUCUUUGGUUGCCUAAUGAAAUUCUUGAUGAAGUUAAAAAUUAAAAUAAUAGGAUCCAAUAAGCUGUAUAUAUAUGACAC